rnacentral:rRNA from 1 species
AGGUAAGCUACUAAGAGCGAAUGGUGGAUGCCUUGACUGGUAAAGGCGAUGAAGGACGUACUAGACUGCGAUAAGCUACGGGGAGCUGUCAAGAAGCUUUGAUCCGUAGAUUUCCGAAUGGGGCAACCCAAUGUAUAGAGAUAUACAUUACCUAUAUAGGAGCGAACGAGGGGAAUUGAAACAUCUUAGUACCCUCAGGAAAAGAAAUCAAUAGAGAUUGCGUCAGUAGCGGCGAGCGAAAGCGUAAGAGGGCAAACCCAGUGCUUGCACUGGGGGUUGUAGGACUGCAAUGUGCAAGAGGUGAGUUUAGCAGAACAUUCUGGAAAGUAUAGCCAUAGAGGGUGAUAGUCCCGUAUGCGAAAAACAAACCUUAGCUAGCAGUAUCCUGAGUAGGGCGGGACACGAGAAAUCCUGUCUGAAGCUGGGUCGACCACGAUCCAACCCUAAAUACUAAUACCAGAUCGAUAGUGCACAAGUACCGUGAGGGAAAGGUGAAAAGAACUGAGGUGAUCAGAGUGAAAUAGAACCUGAAACCAUUUGCUUACAAUCAUUCAGAGCACUAUGUAGCAAUACAGUGUGAUGGACUGCCUUUUGCAUAAUGAGCCUGCGAGUUGUGGUGUCUGGCAAGGUUAAGCAAACGCGAAGCCGUAGCGAAAGCGAGUCUGAAUAGGGCGCUUAGUCAGAUGCUGCAGACCCGAAACGAAGUGAUCUAUCCAUGAGCAAGUUGAAGCUAGUGUAAGAACUAGUGGAGGACUGAACCCAUAGGCGUUGAAAAGCCCCGGGAUGACUUGUGGAUAGGGGUGAAAGGCCAAUCAAACUUCGUGAUAGCUGGUUCUCUCCGAAAUAUAUUUAGGUAUAGCGUUGUGUCGUAAUAUAAGGGGGUAGAGCACUGAAUGGGCUAGGGCAUACACCAAUGUACCAAACCCUAUCAAACUCCGAAUACCUUAUAUGUAAUCACAGCAGUCAGGCGGCGAGUGAUAAAAUCCGUCGUCAAGAGGGAAACAACCCAGACUACCAGCUAAGGUCCCUAAAUCUUACUUAAGUGGAAAACGAUGUGAAGUUACUUAAACAACCAGGAGGUUGGCUUAGAAGCAGCCAUCCUUUAAAGAAAGCGUAAUAGCUCACUGGUCUAGUGAUUUUGCGCGGAAAAUAUAACGGGGCUAAAGU